rnacentral:rRNA from 1 species
GACGAACGCUGGCGGCGUGCCUAAUACAUGCAAGUAGAACGCUGAAGAGAGGAGCUUGCUCUUCUUGGAUGAGUUGCGAACGGGUGAGUAACGCGUAGGUAACCUGCCUUGUAGCGGGGGAUAACUAUUGGAAACGAUAGCUAAUACCGCAUAACAAUGGAUGACACAUGUCAUUUAUUUGAAAGGGGCAAUUGCUCCACUACAAGAUGGACCUGCGUUGUAUUAGCUAGUAGGUGAGGUAAUGGCUCACCUAGGCGACGAUACAUAGCCGACCUGGGAGGGUGAUCGGCCACACUGGGACUGAGACACGGCCCAGACUCCUACGGGAGGCAGCAGUAGGGAAUCUUCGGCAAUGGGGGCAACCCUGACCGAGCAACGCCGCGUGAGUGAAGAAGGUUUUCGGAUCGUAAAGUUCUGUUGUAAGUCAAGAACGGGUGUGAGAGUGGAAAGUUCACACUGUGACGGUAGCUUACCAGAAAGGGACGGCUAACUACGUG